UGGGGAAUAUUGGACAAUGGGCGCAAGCCUGAUCCAGCCAUGCCGCGUGGAUGAUGAAGGCCUUAGGGUUGUAAAGUCCUUUCGGCGGGGAAGAUAAUGACGGUACCCGCAGAAGAAGCCCCGGCUAACUUCGUGCCAGCAGCCGCGGUAAUACGAAGGGGGCUAGCGUUGCUCGGAAUCACUGGGCGUAAAGCGCACGUAGGCGGCUUUUUAAGUCAGGGGUGAAAUCCUGGAGCUCAACUCCAGAACUGCCUUUGAUACUGAGAAGCUUGAGUCCGGGAGAGGUGAGUGGAACUGCGAGUGUAGAGGUGAAAUUCGUAGAUAUUCGCAAGAACACCAGUGGCGAAGGCGGCUCACUGGCCCGGUACUGACGCUGAGGUGCGAAAGCGUGGGGAGCAAACAGGAUUAGAUACCCACGUAGUCCCUGAGCGGGCUGGCAAGGCGCAU
rnacentral:rRNA from 1 species